GCCGGGCGUGGUGGCGAGCGCCUGUAGUCCCCAGCUACUUGGGAGGUUGAGGCAGGAGAAUGGUGUGAACCCGGGAGGCGGAGCUUGCAGUGAGCCGAGAUCGUGCCACUGCAUUCCAGCCUGGGCGACAGAGCGAGACUCCGUCUACAAAAAAAAAAAAAAAAAUUNNNNNNNNNNGUCUCGCUCUGUCGCCCAGGCUGGAAUGCAGUGGCACGAUCUCAGCUCACUGCAAGCUCCGCCUCCCGGGUUCACGCCAUUCUCCUGCCUCAG
rnacentral:SRP_RNA from 1 species